rnacentral:rRNA from 1 species
AUUGAACGCUGGCGGCAUGCCUUACACAUGCAAGUCGAACGGUAACAGGUCUUCGGAUGCUGACGAGUGGCGAACGGGUGAGUAAUACAUCGGAACGUGCCUAGUAGUGGGGGAUAACUACUCGAAAGAGUGGCUAAUACCGCAUGAGAUCUACGGAUGAAAGCAGGGGAUCGCAAGGCCUUGUGCUACUAGAGCGGCCGAUGGCAGAUUAGGUAGUUGGUGGGAUAAAAGCUUACCAAGCCGACGAUCUGUAGCUGGUCUGAGAGGACGAUCAGCCACACUGGGACUGAGACACGGCCCAGACUCCUACGGGAGGCAGCAGUGGGGAAUUUUGGACAAUGGGCGCAAGCCUGAUCCAGCAAUGCCGCGUGCAGGAUGAAGGCCUUCGGGUUGUAAACUGCUUUUGUACGGAACGAAAAGCCCUGGAUUAAUACCCUGGGGUCAUGACGGUACCGUAAGAAUAAGCACCGGCUAACUACGUGCCAGCCGCCGCCGUAAUAC